rnacentral:rRNA from 1 species
GACGAACGCUGGCGGCGUGCUUAACACAUGCAAGUCGAGCGAGAAAGCCCCUUCGGGGGUGAGUACAGCGGCGAACGGGUGAGUAACACGUGGGUAACCUACCCGGGGAGCGGGACAACCCGAGGAAACUCGGGCUAAUACCGCAUGAUUCGCUGCGUCCCAGGGCGCAGCGGCAAAAGGUGCUUCGGCCUCCGCCCCAGGAUGGGCCCGCGCCGCAUUAGCUUGUUGGUGAGGUAACGGCCCACAAGGCGACGAUGCGUAGCUGGUCUGAGAGGACGAUCAGCCACACUGGGACUGAGACACGGCCCAGACUCCUACGGGAGGCAGCAGUGGGGAAUCUUGCGCAAUGGGCGAAAGCCUGACGCAGCAACGCCGCGUGAGGGAAGACGGCCU